rnacentral:rRNA from 1 species
AUUGAACGCUGGCGGCAUGCCUUACACAUGCAAGUCGAACGGUAACAGGGAGCUUGCUCCGCUGACGAGUGGCGAACGGGUGAGUAAUGUAUCGGAACGUACCUUUCAGUGGGGGAUAACGUAGCGAAAGUUACGCUAAUACCGCAUAUUCUGUGAGCAGGAAAGCAGGGGACCUUCGGGCCUUGCGCUGAUUGAGCGGCUGAUAUCAGAUUAGCUAGUUGGUGAGGUAAAGGCUCACCAAGGCGACGAUCUGUAGCGGGUCUGAGAGGAUGAUCCGCCACACUGGAACUGAGACACGGUCCAGACUCCUACGGGAUGCAGCAGUGGGGAAUUUUGGACAAUGGGGGCAACCCUGAUCCAGCCAUGCCGCGUGAGUGAAGAAGGCCUUCGGGUUGUAAAGCUCUUUCGGCCGGGAAAAAAUCGCAUGGGCUAAUACCCUGUGUGGAUGAUGGUACCGGAAUAAGAAGCACCGGCUAACUACGUGCCAGCCGCCGCGGUAA